rnacentral:rRNA from 1 species
GACGAACGCUGGCGGCGUGCUUAACACAUGCAAGUCGAACGAAGAGCGAUGGAAGCUUGCUUCUAUCAAUCUUAGUGGCGAACGGGUGAGUAACGCGUAAUCAACCUGCCCUUCAGAGGGGGACAACAGUUGGAAACGACUGCUAAUACCGCAUACGAUCUAAACUCGGCAUCGAGGAUAGAUGAAAGGUGGCCUCUACAUGUAAGCUAUCACUGAAGGAGGGGAUUGCGCCUGAUUAGCUAGGUGGAGGGGUAACGGGCCACCAAGGCGAGGAGCAGUAGCCGGUCUGAGAGGAUGCACUGACAAACUGGGACUGAGACACGGCCCAGAAUCCUACGGGAGGCAGCAGUGGGGAAUCUUCCGGAAUGGAAGAAAGUCUGACGGAGCAACGCCGCGUGAGUGAUGACGGCCUUCGGGUUGUAAAGCUCUGUUAAUCGGGACGAAAGGCCUUCUUGCGAAUAGUGAGAAGGAUUGACGGUACCGGAAUAGAAAGCCACGGCUAACUACGUG